rnacentral:rRNA from 1 species
AUGGAGAUUCCCACCAAACUGCGAGAUGUGCAGAAGUUCACCGGCUGCUUGGCCUCCCUGAAUCAUUUUAUCAGCCGACUAGGAGAGAAGGCUCUCCCCCUGUACCGACUCAUGAAGAAGUCCACUCACUUCGAGUGGAAUGACCAAGCCGACCAAGCCUUCCAUGAGUUGAAGAAAAUGCUGACCACUCCGCCUGUCCUGGCAGCGCCGACUGAAAAGGAUCCCAUGCUUCUCUACAUCGCUGCGACUAGCCGAGUAGUCAGUACUGUUGUUGUCGUCCAGCGCCCGGAAGAAGGUUGA